rnacentral:lncRNA from 1 species
ACAAGAAGAUGCAAAUUUAUGACCUGGCAAAGAAGUUCAGGGAGUCUGAGACAGAGGAAGUCAUUCCUGACUGGGUCAAGCAUCGAAAGCGAUCUGACUGUAAAAGGAGUGACGAAUUUGUUGCCGACUUGAAGGAGAAGAUUGACCAGGACCCAGGACAGAGCAUAGUUGACCUGGUGAAGGAAAUGGGUGUUUCGAGGUUAACUGUUAGUCGGACUGUGAAGAAUUUUGGUACAAGUCCUUUGUUCUCGGGAACUGGCAACUGUUGACCGAGAAGAGCAAGUUCGACCGCAAACUGAAGG